ACGGGAGGCAGCAGUGGGGAAUAUUGCACAAUGGGCGAAAGCCUGAUGCAGCGACGCCGCGUGAGUGAAGAGGUAUUUCGGUAUGUAAAGCUCUAUCAGCAGGGAAGAAAAAUGACGGUACCUGACUAAGAAGCACCGGCUAAAUACGUGCCAGCAGCCGCGGUAAUACGUAUGGUGCAAGCGUUACCCGGAUUUACUGGGUGUAAAGGGGGCGCAGGCGGUACGGCAAGUCUGAUGUGAAAGCCCGGGGCUCAACCCCGGUACUGCAUUGGAAACUGUCGAACUAGAGUGUCGGAGGGGUAAGCGGAAUUCCUAGUGUAGCGGUGAAAUGCGUAGAUAUUAGGAGGAACACCAGUGGCGAAGGCGGCUUACUGGACGAUAACUGACGCUGAGGCUCGAAAGCGUGGGGAGCAAACAGGAUUAGAUACCCUGGUA
rnacentral:rRNA from 1 species